rnacentral:lncRNA from 1 species
UUUGUACGAAUUUCCACCAAAUUUCUACUAAUUUAUACAUAUGUAUUGGAAUUUCUAGCAAAUUACUACUAAUUCCUACUAAUUUGAUUUUCUAACUAAUAUACAAAUAUCUAUUGAUUUAUAACUAAUUCGUUCCCGGCGCCAGUGCCGGCGGACCUCACGUGGUCGACGGUGCCUAGGUUGGGCGACGAGGUGGCUGGGGCGGCGGGACGGCGGAGGUGGGGACGGAGCGAGGUGGCCGUGGCAAUGAUUAAUUUCUAACCUAGGCGGAGCCCUUCGUAACCCGGGAUUAACUAAUUACUACUAAUUACUACUAAUUUCCACUAAUUUGAUUUUCUAACUCAUAUACAAAUAUCUAUUGAUUUUCUAACUAAUUACUACUCAUUUCUAUUUAUUUUCUAACUAAAAAAUUAAAAAGGCCCUUGUUGACGCAAGCCGUGGGCUUGCGUCAGCAAGAGCGGUACGUUCCCGGCGCCAGUGCCGGCGGACCUCGCGCAGUCGAUGGUG